rnacentral:rRNA from 1 species
GACGAACGCUGGCGGCGUGCCUAAUACAUGCAAGUAGAACGCUGAAGAGAGGAGCUUGCUCUUCUUGGAUGAGUUGCGAACGGGUGAGUAACGCGUAGGUAACCUGCCUUGUAGCGGGGGACAACUAUUGGAAACGAUAGCUAAUACCGCAUAACAAUGGAUGACACAUGUCAUUUAUUUGAAAGGGGCAAUUGCUCCACUACAAGAUGGACCUGCGUUGUAUUAGCUAGUAGGUGAGGUAAUGGCUCACCUAGGCGACGAUACAUAGCCGACCUGAGAGGGUGAUCGGCCACACUGGGACUGAGACACGGCCCAGACUCCUACGGGAGGCAGCAGUAGGGAAUCUUCGGCAAUGGGGGCAACCCUGACCGAGCAACGCCGCGUGAGUGAAGAAGGUUUUCGGAUCGUAAAGCUCUGUUGUAAGUCAAGAACGGGUGUGAGAGUGGAAAGUUCACACUGUGACGGUAGCUUACCAGAAAGGGACGGCUAACUACGUG